AAGUACGCUAAGAAGUCGGUCCGGAUAACGGUAAGGGUACGCUAUAUUUUCUGAAAGUGCCCAAUCGUGGGGGAUAACGCAGCGAAAGCUGUGCUAAUACCGCAUACGAUCUACGGAUGAAAGCGGGGGAUCGCAAGACCUCGCGCGAUUGGAGCGGCUGAUAUCAGAUUAGCUAGUUGGUGGGGUAAAGGCCUACCAAGGCGACGAUCUGUAGCUGGUCUGAGAGGACGACCAGCCACACUGGAACUGAGACACGGUCCUGACUCCUACGGGAGGCAGCAGUGGGGAAUUUUGGACAAUGGGCGCAAGCCUGAUCCAGCAAUGCCGCGUGCAGGAUGAAGGCCUUCGGGUUGUAAACUGCUUUUGUACGGAACGAAAAGGUCUCUCUUAAUACGAGAGAUUUAUGACGGUACCGUAAGAAUAAGCACCGGCUAACUACGUGCCAGCAGCCGCGGUAAUACGUAGGGUGCGAGCGUUAAUCGGAAUUACUGGGCGUAAAGCGUGCGCAGGCGGUUUUGUAAGACAGAUGUGAAAUCCCCGGGCUCAACCUGGGACCUGCAUUUGUGACUGCAAGGCUAGAGUACGGUAGAGGGGGAUGGAAUUCCGCGUGUAGCAGUGAAAUGCGUAGAUAUGCGGAGGAACACCGAUGGCGAAG
rnacentral:rRNA from 1 species